AAAAAAAAAAAAAAAACUAAAAGACGUUACUAAUAUUUUUCUAUGUUGACGCAUAAAUAGAAUUCCAAUUAUUUGGUUUAAAUAAUUGAAAAAAUAAAUAAGCACACUCCCAAGUAAGUAAUUUGUGGUCAGGACGUGGGAGAUGCGGAGGUGCAGUGAUUUCACAUGAAAUAACAAGUCGGUGGUGUAUGUAUGUAUACAAAAGUAAAGUUCAUAAAAUUCAGUUAUUUUCAAGUGGCA
rnacentral:misc_RNA from 1 species